AAGGUAGCCACAUCUGCUGCUUGCCCCCGCAUCAGCCCAGUAUGGUGCAGAUUCAAAAGGGCCACAAUUCCCGGGACACUUGCUAAGGGCUCGCUGGAGACGUACCAAGAAUAAAUAGCGAGCAGACAGUAAGCUCUCAUCCCAGGAACAGCUUUCAGUCAUCUCUCCCUGAACCACUGUUGCAUCAGGACCUACAGAAGUAAGUUCUGUAUGUGACAGAUCACUUCUACUAGAAGAACUGUUUUACAGCAGAGCUGGAAAAGACUAAAAAUCAUGAACAAAUUAAAAGAUCUCACAUUACCUACAUAUACAAGGAUUUAAGCAGUAUGAGCAGCAUCUAGGAUUCAGCUUCUGCCAGUUCCUAAGAAGCAAAUCAAGUUCUAGUCCAUUUGAAAUUCUCUCAUUAUUAAAUAUAUAUAUACUUAUAUAUAGAUCUCUCUCUCUCUC